GACAGAGGGUGCAAACGUUGUUCGGAAUUACUGGGCGUAAAGCGUGUGUAGGCGGUUUGCUAAGUCGGGUGUGAAAGCCCCGGGCUCAACCUGGGAACUGCAUCCGAGACUGCUUUGCUCGAGUAUGGGAGAGGGAAGUGGAAUUUCCGGUGUAGCGGUGAAAUGCGUAGAUAUCGGAAGGAACAUCAGUGGCGAAGGCGACUUCCUGGACCAAUACUGACGCUCAGGUGCGAAAGCGUGGGGAGCAAACAGG
rnacentral:rRNA from 1 species